UGUUGAGAAAAUGUGCCUCGAAACUCGAAACGACUGCAAAUUGAAUUCGGCUCAAGUUUGCUUGAAAAAUUCUGUGCCAACUGAAUGGAGUCGACCCCUAGCAUCUAGGAGUCGACUCAUGUGAAGCUUGAGUCGACCCCAGGGAUGAGAGGGUCGACUCGCAUCUGCCACAGUGAAGAAACAGAGAGCAGUUUUUUUGGGUUGCUUGCAGGAGUCGACUCCAGUCCUGCAGGAGUCGACUCCAGCUCUGCAGGAGUCGACUCUCUCAGGAAGACAGAGCAUACCAGUUUCGGUGCUGAUACUUGGAGUCGACCC
rnacentral:lncRNA from 1 species